GCACGAAUGGCGUAACGAUGGCCACACUGUCUCAACCCGAGACUCAGCGAAGUUGAAAUGUUUGUGAAGAUGCAAUCUCCCCGCUGCUAGACGGAAAGACCCCGUGAACCUUUACUGUAGCUUUACAUUGGACUUUGAACAGACUUGUGUAGGAUAGGUGGGAGGCUAUGAAGCUGGAACGCUAGUUUCAGUGGAGCCGCCCUUGAAAUACCACCCUGGUGUGUUUGAGGUUCUAACCUUGGUCCGUAAUCCGGAUCGGGGACCGUGUAUGGUAGGCAGUUUGACUGGGGCGGUCUCCUCCCAAAGAGUAACGGAGGAGUUCGAAGGUCAUCUAGGUACGGUCGGACAUCGUACUGAUAGUGCAAUGGCAAAAGAUGGCUUAACUGCGAGACCGACAAGUCGAGCAGGUGCGAAAGCAGG
rnacentral:rRNA from 1 species